rnacentral:rRNA from 1 species
UACGUAGGGUGCAAGCGUUAAUCGGAAUUACUGGGCGUAAAGCGUGCGCAGGCGGUUUUGUAAGUCUGACGUGAAAUCCCUCGGCCCAACCGAGGAACUGCGCCCGAGACUGCUUCUCUUGAGUCCCGGAGAGGAAGAUGGAAUUCCCGGUGUAGCGGUGAAAUGUGUAGAGAUCGGGAGGAACACCGGUGGCGAAGGCGGUCUUCUGGACGGUGACUGACGCUGAGGCGCGAAAGCGUGGGGAGCAAACGGG